rnacentral:tRNA from 1 species
AGGGCUGUAGCUCAGUUAGGUAGAGCACCUCGUUUACACCGGUUCGAGUCCGUAUAGCCCUA